GGGAAUGUGGCUCAAUGGUAAAGUGCUUGCCUAAUAUGUAUGAGGUCCUGGGUUUGAUUCCCCAGUACCA
rnacentral:tRNA from 1 species